rnacentral:misc_RNA from 1 species
AUAGUAGCCAGAGAGUAGUGGUGAUGAUAGUGUUCAGUAAACAUGGCCUUAUAAACACACUUCUAACUAUCGAUUUAAAUACCCAACAAAUAUCAUAGCAUAAUACAUUGUAGCUCAUCCAUGUUACCACCUUGGUACCAACACAUUUUACAUCUACAAAGGUGAUUUCAAAAUUUACUAGUGCAAAAUCUAAUAUAUCGCAGAAAUUAGAAACAUUGCAGUACAAAAUGUGUCAGCUAAGAUCUUGCCAUACAAGCGUACAAAAGGUUCUUUCCACGAAACCUUGUUAUUUCAGGCAUAUCUACCUCUCCCACAUCCUAAGAGGAAGCUCUAGACAUUUUUGUGCGAGAUUUCUGGCUCUCCAAUCUUGCUUCAAGGAGUUUUGCCUUCAAAGUAUUUUCCUCUAUGCCUCUUGGUAAUUGCAAAGAAGACUCAGAUUUACCAAAUUCAGGAGAUGCCAAUUUUGACAUCCACUGUUGCACUGGACUUGCAUGUCCUACAAAUACCUCCUCAACACAAGAAUCUUCUUUCAAAUCACCUUCAGGAUGAAUUUUAUCACCUUCAGAUGACAUUGAAUGAUUUCGAAUUAAGUUAUCCAUCACAUCAUUUGAGUUCAAUAGCGCAUGCAAAACACGGCCCUUACUAUUUUCCCUUGAACUGGCCAUUCUCUUCAUGGGAUCCAAAAUCAUUAUUUCCUCAAAACGGCUUUCUGAAGAGUUAUUACCUCGUCUUUUGGAACUGCCUGUGUUUCGUUUUUUACCUAUACUCUUGUUUAGCUCAAUACAAUGAGAAUUGCUCUCAAUAGAACCUUCUUCAUUGGCAGUACCUCGAGGUGCACUUACAGCCUCAUUUAGUGGAAAGGACUCCCGCCGUGCGCAAUUUUUUAUUGCCUCGUUAACAAAAUUACCAUCUUUCUUCAAUUCAUUGGAGUGUCGAGCUUCGAGAAAGGUUUCUAUAUCUAGACUUAACUUGUCAACAAUUGUAUUCUUUUCUGUAAGAUCAUUUUGAGCUUCUGCCAGUUUCAUUUGCACCCGCUCAUCAAGCCAUGCUUCUGAGAUAUGGAGAACCAAGCGGUCAAUAGUAGCAUGAUCCAUCUCAGGUUUGUGCCUUAGGGACCGCACCUCUUGUUCAUAAUCUCUUAUUCCCUUGGCAAACUCAUCACAUAAGUUUUCCAAUAAAAUCCGUGCUUUCCUCUCACUCUCAAGUUCUUUUAAAGCAUUAGAGAAAGCUGAUUUCACUUCAUAAAACUCUCGAGCUAGCUUCCGAUGCAAGCUUUCUGAGUGCUUUCUUAACUUCCUCUCAACUUCUAGCUCUUCUCGUGCUGACUGAAUGACAGCUUUGAUUCGAUCAUGCUCUUUAUUCUUCCUAACAACUUUAUCCUGUGCAACUUGCUUCAUUAAGCCAUCUAUUUCUCGCCCGUUAGUUUGUUUCUCUUUUAGCAACUCCUUUAUUUGUGAUCGAGAACAAUCUAGUUCCAUUUUUAAAGAUUUUAACAGCGACAAAUUGCAUGCUUGCUGUUCUUCAAGACUCCAAAUCCGGUUGAUUACCGUGAGUAAUUUUGUUGAUGUCUUAAGGCCAUAACUUGACUCAUCCAUCCUGCACUUAAAAUCCAAGAAACUGGAAGACUGCAUACCCAAAGGUUUAUAAGGCGCUACCU